rnacentral:lncRNA from 1 species
GCCGAGCGCGCCGCUGCUCCGCGUGUGAGUGCCCCGCCACAGUGCGCGUCCUGCGCGGCAGGCGCACCUCCACGCGGCUGCGGGCACCGCGCUGUGCUGAGAGCGGGACUGCGACCCGGAGGGGUGGAGGGCCUCGGAACACAGCCGUGUGUUGGUUACUAUUAAAAAAAAGAAGAAGAAAAAAUAAGGCAUUUUGUUUGUUGGAAUUAUGUGAUAGGUUUGGAAGGCACCCCACCACCUCCAUCCGUGCCAGCCCCAUCGCUGUCGCACGCUGGGCUGCUACCCCGGAGCUGCAGGUAAAAACCCUGCGCCUACCGAGCACCGACCCAGAGCCACGGGCUGCGGGGUACGUGCCGAGAGCCACCUGCACCACUACUGCUGUGGGCUGCAAAUGCCCAACACCGCGGUACUUCCUCCUCUUAGAUGGGUGAGCGGCAGUGGCGAAGGCAGAAGAGGAACCCUUGAGUUUGAGCUGAGAUUGAGAACACAGAACUUCUCCCCCUCCCAUUGCACAGAGUCCAAAGAGCCCUCUGGGUGGUUUUGGAAGGCAUGCUUCAGGGCAUUCUGCUGGGACACAUCUGAGCAUCUUCAACAGCCGCUGACACAUGUCCCUUGCAACACACAGUCUCACACACACAGAACCUUGACAUGAGGAAGCAACUUUAUUGGACAUCAGCAUCGUUCUGACAGCAGUGCUCUGUCUUCAGCGUGGGUCACCACAGGCUGGCAGGGUACGUGAAACCUGAACGCUGACCAACCUACAGAGGUCAAUAAAAACUUACCAGUUUCUCUUAUGAGAUUUUAAAGUCUCAGAUGCAUUUCUUGGAGGACAAAGCUCCAAUAGUUUGGGAAGUUCCUCACAGUCCGUCUUCUCCUGCCCUGUUUCCCAGUGCUGCUGUGCCGCAGCGGUAAGCGAGCAGGGACUCCUCCUCACUGCCCAGGAUGAGCCCAGGAAGGGCAGCAGGGGUGGGGUGUAGAGCAGCAGGAUGGCUGCCACGUUUUGCCAAGCCCAGCGACAGGAGUGAGUGGUUUGGUGAGAAAAUAUUUGCACUGAACGUGGUCCUCACGUUCGGAGCCCAGGAGGCGUCGUGCCAGCUACGCCUUCUCGCUCCUCACAGCAAACUUAACCUCCAGGAGGGUACUUAAAGACGGAGUAAGUGAAAACAGAGUGAAGGAGCACAGCAGGCCUGUUUGGGCCGAGCUCAUGGAGCCUCGCAGUGAGGCCUCGUGGCUCAGCUCCGCUUUGUCUCAUGCUGUGGCAGCAGGCCGUGUCAGCGGCCCAGGGCCGGGCUGCCUGCCAGCGCCUUCACCGGGCUGCGGCCUUCAUUUGCUGCAUCUGGGUUACGCUCACACAGAAGGCCCCAGCGCUUGGGAAGUGUUUCAGGAGAGGCCCGGUUGUGCUCGGCAGCCCUCUGCAGGCAAGCGGGGCGGCGGGAGCUCCGGCACUCCUUGGCACUCGUGAACAAAAGCACACAGCUUGGUGCUCCCGCACAGCCCUCCCUCCUUCCUGCACCCCCGGCCACUGCCUGCUUCCCAGGGCCUGCCCGCAGUGUGCUCCUCUUCUCUCUGCAAGCAGCCAGCACGGUUGGGUGCUACACAGAGGUGCUUUCUGGAAGUGAUGUUGGUCGCAGUCGCUCAGGUCUUGCGGCCAGAGUGGAGCCUCGUGCAAAAUGUCCACCAACGCAUUUAAACCAUUUGUGAACAAGAUUUCGUAACGUGGCAGUCGGGCUCCUAUUCUGUUGUUAUCACUCAAAGCACGUUGCUGUGUGAGAGCUGCCUUCUGCCUCCAUCCAUUGCAGCACCAGGGCCCAAGGAAGGGCUGCGGUGAAGACUUGAAUCUCCUCCUUCAUGUUGGAGUUCUUUCACCCGGGCUUACAAGCUGCAUGACCCAACUGAUCCAGAACGACAGCGCACAGCAUUCUGAGCUAAUACGGCUCCUGAAAGCAGCAAGGAGCUGUUUGUCACCAGUAAACCAGAAGUUUGCAAAGAGAGUUUUGGAAUGUUUGUCACUUUUCUGUUUCGAUUCGCUGGCAAUUUGCUUCUGUGGUAAAGCAGAAGGUAGCACCUUAAAUAAAUUGAUCUGGAUGAGGGAAUUUGAUCUGGAUGAGAGGAUUGAGUGCAUCCUCAGUAAGUUGGCAGAUGACACCAGGUUGGUGUAAGUGUUGAUCUGCCUGAGGGCAAGAAAGCCCGGGACAGAAUGCAUCGCUGGGCUGGGGCCAAUGGGAUGAAGUUCAACAAGAACAAGUGCUGGGUCCUGCAUUUGGCCACAACUCCAGGCAAUGCUACAGGCUUGGGGCAGUGGCUGUCAGGCUGACCCAGCACUGGGCUCUCACUGUGUUGGGGCCAGUCCCCUCCUCCCUCAUAGUCAGGCAGUUGGAGCUGAGAGGAAAGGCCUCGGCUGCUUCAGAGGGCUGUGCCAUAGGCUGGGCCAGGUGCAGCAGUACGCUGCAGCUCCAGCACAGUGCUCUGUCGCAGGACCUGACACCAAUGCAGCCCUGCCUGGGGCAUGGAUAGCAAAAUGCUGUCUGUAGGGAAGCUGGCAGGUCUGACAAUCAGUGUCUUUAUUCCUAUCAGAUUCCACUCCGGAAAUAGCAAGGCUCACUUCUUAUAGGGCAGGUUGGUGUGCGUAAGGAAUAACAAACCAUCCACUCUUUGGCACCUGUUCCAGAAGCUGCAUGCACAGGGUGAUGGCAAGGAGCUGGAUUCAGCAGCUUGGAUGUGGUGGGGAUGGGACCUGGAGCAGCAGCAUCACACCCUCCAAUUACAAAAGUGACCCUUAAGGGGCACAGCUCCCAGGAGCACAGUGAACAGUGUGUGUGGCAUGUCAGCUUGCAUGGCAGUUCCUGCACGCAGGGUGAGCUGGGGGGCAGAGCAUCCCUCCCUACUUGGGAGACUGGCUUACCCAGCGACUGCCUCCUGGAGAAUACAUCUAGCCAUGGCUUCCAUGAGGCAAAAAGCUCUCUCCAAAACGAAUGCAGUGACCCAGAUCGAGUGCCUGCCCAAAAAUGUGGCUGUCCAGAUUUCUGGCCGCACGGAGUGCCCGAG